UCCAUCGUGAGGUGGAAUCUGAAGGAAGCCGAAGGCAAAAUCCCGGACUGACGGAUAGGAACUGUAUAAAAGGCUGUCUUGGAACGGACGAGUUUGCACAACAAAGUGAAGUCCGAUACUGCCCGAAUUCCAGGCAGUAAAUACAGCAGUUACAUGGGAGGAAAGUUAUAGCU
rfam:Salimicrobium flavidum strain DSM 23127 genome assembly, contig: Ga0111645_103